UACGUAGGGUGCAAGCGUUAAUCGGAAUUACUGGGCGUAAAGCGUGCGCAGGCGGUUUUGUAAGUCAGAUGUGAAAUCCCCGGGCUUAACCUGGGAACUGCGUUUGAAACUACAAGGCUAGAGUUUGGCAGAGGGGGGUAGAAUUCCACGUGUAGCAGUGAAAUGCGUAGAUAUGUGGAGGAACACCGAUGGCGAAGGCAGCCCCCUGGGUCAAGACUGACGCUCAUGCACGAAAGCGUGGGGAGCAAACAGG
rnacentral:rRNA from 1 species